rnacentral:rRNA from 1 species
GUCCACGCUGUAAACGAUGAGUGCUAGAUGUUGGGAAUUUCAUUUUCAGUAUCGCAGCUAACGCAAUAAGCACUCCGCCUGGGGAGUACGGUCGCAAGAUUAAAACUCAAAGGAAUUGACGGGGGCCCCGCACAAGCGGUGGAGUAUGUGGUUUAAUUCGAAGCAACGCGAAAAACCUUACCAGCUCUUGACAUAUGGAUUAUGGGGUUCAGAGAUGAACUCCUUCGGUUCGGCCGGGUCCAAUACAGGUGCUGCAUGGCUGUCGU